GGAGGACGAUGCAACGGGUUAGAUUAGGCUCAAUACAUACGGGGGUUAGCAGGUUCCAACUGUGCCGGGUGCAAAACAAACAAUAUCCCAACCACUCAGAGAGACCCACCUCUGUGUUCUGCUCCAGUAACAUCUGGUCCAGGAUGGGCAUCAACCAGUCUUCAAACUUACAGUAGUUGUCAUUGGGCACCAACAGAUUCCCUAUCCUACAUCCAGCAAUGACAAAGGAGGAGGGUAACGGAUGCUCUCUCUGACUCCAGAGCUGAUGAGGUUGGAGGUGUAUCCCAGGAAGAUGGUGCAGCCUAACUUGCGGGGGGAUUCACCAGACUCAUGACACUCAUUUCCUUCAUCUGCCUCCACUGGCUCCAGACGCUUCUCUAUCUGUGUGGCGUGGAGUCAUCAGACAAUAAUGGUCAACAUUCACUCCCCUGUCUCUCCCCACAUUUCCUGUCUCUCUGCACUGACUAUAAAAGCAAAAAUG